AAUAAGUUUAGUUUUUAGUUUUUAUACAACGUUUGGCUCUUGUGUCUUAUUUGUAUUUUUUUUGCAAUUAAUAUUUUUUAUUAGAUGAUAAAACAUGAAUAUUACUUUUUGUGUGACUAUUUUUUAAGUUUUUCUAUAAACUUUUUCAUAUAAGACGGAUGGUCAAACGUUAGAUACAGAAAUC
rnacentral:pre_miRNA from 1 species